UAGGGAAUCUUCGGCAAUGGGGGCAACCCUGACCGAGCAACGCCGCGUGAGUGAAGAAGGUUUUCGGAUCGUAAAGCUCUGUUGUAAGAGAAGAACGUGUGUGAGAGUGGAAAGUUCACACAGUGACGGUAACUUACCAGAAAGGGACGGCUAACUACGUGCCAGCAGCCGCGGUAAUACGUAGGUCCCGAGCGUUGUCCGGAGUUAUUGGGCGUAAAGCGAGCGCAGGCGGUUUAAUAAGUCUGAAGUUAAAGGCAGUGGCUUAACCAUUGUUCGCUUUGGCAACUGUUAAACUUGAGUGCAGAAGGGGAGAGUGGAAUUCCAUGUGUAGCGGUGAAAUGCGUAGAUAUAUGGAGGAACACCGGUGGCGAAAGCGGCUCUCUGGUCUGUAACUGACGCUGAGGCUCGAAAGCGUGGGGAGCAAACAGG
rnacentral:rRNA from 1 species